UCUGCUUAUGAGAUAAAAGAACUGGCUGAAAUUGGUUGGAACCAAUAAGGCCAAUUGCAGCUUGCACAGAACAAGUUUGCUGAUGUCAAAGCCUGAAUUGCCACUGCACGUUUCAUACUCACUCCUCCCAAAUCUGCACAGGGGACCCAUGAGUUGGCAUGAACAGAUAACUGUGCAUGUCCAAGGACUGUCCAGACUUCUCCUUUCCUUCCAUCAAUCACCUGCUAAUCUUAGAAUCCACCCCUUAAACCUCCUCUAAUAAAAUUACCGCCUUAAAGCUAGCACAGGGAGACAGGGUUGAAUUCAACUCCUGUCUCCAUAUGAGUCGACUCACAAUAGAAAGCUUGGCUUUUCUCAAAAAUCCAGUGUGACUGCUUCUAGCACAUCAGGCUAGAGCCCCCUUUGCUGCAUAACAAUGGUGGAGGGAAGCGAAUGGGGCAGAGCCUAGACGGUGCUGGGGAGAGAGCAGGGCACCGGCCUCUCCCAGCACUGCAUGGUCCCCAGGCUGUGUGGCUGCAGUCCACGUGUGCCCACGCGCUGCUCCUGCUCUUGAGUCAACCUGAGUGGCCCCUGUUCUAUGCAAUCAAAGGAGCCAGAGCAUCGUUUCCACCCUCGGGCCCCUGGGCAAGUCAUGAUCACAGCCCCAGGCUGUCAGGGCCCCAGCAGGUGUCAUGGGAGCUCAGGGGCAGAGGAGUAUGGCUGUACUGGGGAGAUACAUGGUGGGGUUGCGGGUGUCUGAACUGAGACCUGAAAUGUGGGAGGAGGGCAGCCCAGGUAUAGCCAGCUGUACGCUCAAGAGAUGGUCACAGAGAAGCCUGGCACAUUCGGGGAAGGAGCUAUGAAGCCAGCGUGGUGGAGUGUAGGGUGCUGAUGAGAAGGGUGAGAGAUAAGGCGGGAGACGUGGUGAGAUGAGCAGGUUAAGCGCCUUCAAUCUCUGGGCCCCAGGAGAGCAGAGGCUAGGAGGAAAUGAACCCAGGGUGUUCUUGGGAAAGCUUCUCCCAAGGUGUACCAGAAGUUGAGGUAAUGUACCUGCUGCCACAUCUAUCCGGUCAUUCAACAGGUAUUUACUGAGGGUAUGCAGUAAACAAAGAGUGUUUACAGUACAGCUGGAGCAAAAAGGAACCAACAGAAAAAGACGUGUUAUUUGAGGCCAGACAGUGAGAACUGCUAAAGGAACAAAGUCCCUGAAGAGGGACAGGGACUAUGUCAGAUGGGAGGUCUCAGCAGCAGACAUCAUGGUGCUCCGGCAGCAGGACAGCACCACGUCGGCCGGCUGCCACUCAUGCCACAAAAGGAGGCAUCAAGGAUCAUGUUAGCCCCAAAGCAGCUGACAUUCAGGUGUCCACUUUCUCCAAAAAGGCCUCAGGAGAAGCAGCAGCCACUUGAGCAGCUACCUCCACCGGCCUGCAGGGACUCCCAGUCACAUUGGAAACCUCCAAACCAUGGAAGGGGUUUUCCACAACCACUCCCUUAAUUUCAUACUUUUGCCUCCCUGCUUCUGACAGAAUGAAGAUCUAUAAACCAGCCCUCCAGUAAAUCACCAAAAAUGCAGCAGACCCACCUCUUCUUGGU
rnacentral:lncRNA from 1 species